AGUGAACGCUGGCGGUAGGCCUAACACAUGCAAGUCGAACGGCAGCACAGUAAGAGCUUGCUCUUACGGGUGGCGAGUGGCGGACGGGUGAGGAAUACGUCGGAAUCUACUUUUUCGUGGGGGAUAACGUAGGGAAACUUACGCUAAUACCUCAUACGACCUACGGGUGAAAGCAGGGGAUCUUCGGACCUUGCGCGAUUGAAUGAGCCGAUGUCGGAUUAGCUAGUUGGCGGGGUAAAGGCCCACCAAGGCGACGAUCCGUAGCUGGUCUGAGAGGAUGAUCAGCCACACUGGAACUGAGACACGGUCCAGACUCCUACGGGAGGCAGCAGUGGGGAAUAUUGGACAAUGGGCGCAAGCCUGAUCCAGCCAUACCGCGUGGGUGAAGAAGGCCUUCGGGUUGUAAAGCCCUUUUGUUGGGAAAGAAAAGCAGCAGGUUAAUACCCCGCUGUUCUGACGGUACCCAAAGAAUAAGCACCGGCUAACUUCGUG
rnacentral:rRNA from 1 species